rnacentral:lncRNA from 1 species
AAAAAGGUGUUGUGGGUGAAAUAUAAGGGUAGUUGUUUACUUUUACUAAUCUUUAAUUAAGAGACUUUUACUUUUUUGAUUAACUUUAUUAUCUUUAACUAUUCCAUUUAAUUUUUAAUUUAUUAAUCUUUGACUAUGUCAUUUUAAUUUAAUGACACCAAUUCUUUUUUUCUUUUUUUUUCCAUCUGUCAGUUUUUUUUCUUUAUUAAUCCUUUGUUUCAAAAAGUAGCAGACUACCAGAUUUUUUGUAAGGUUUGCAUUAGAUACACAAAGGAAUUCGGAGGUCUGCAUGAGAGAAAGCUGAAAUUUGGAGGCAAAAUAAAAUUUCAUUUAAGUAGCUGCUGCAAAAGUACAAGGGCCCCUCCAAAACCAUUUGGAGGGAAAAUCAAACUAAUUCUCUAUAAAUACAGCCAUUACUCCUACUUCAUUCAAUUCUCACCAACCAAAACCAAAAAACAGAAAAUGGCCAUAGAAAGGCCAAAACUAAAAGAUGAUGAAAGAAAUAAAGUUGCUCAGUGGCUGUUAGAACAUAGCAGUGCAGGGAAAUUGCAGCAUGGAGCCAAAAAGGAGGCGGCACUUCACUUCAAAGUGAACUUGAAGACCAUUUGGAAGAUUUGGAGCCAAGUCUCCCAUCAAAGAGCAUGUGGUGUACCUGUCGAGG